UACGAAGGGGGCUAGCGUUACUCGGAUUGACUGGGCGUAAAGGGCGCGUAGGCGGCUUGUACAGUCAGACGUGAAAUUCCUGGGCUCAACCUGGGGGCUGCGUUUGAUACGUGCGGGCUUGAGUUCGGAAGAGGGUCGUGGAAUUCCCAGUGUAGAGGUGAAAUUCGUAGAUAUCGGGAGGAACACCAGUGGCGAAGGCGGCGAUCUGGGAAGAUACUGACGCUGAGGUGCGAAAGCGUGGGGAGCAAACAGG
rnacentral:rRNA from 1 species